rnacentral:rRNA from 1 species
UACGGGGGGAACGAGCGUUGUUCGGAUUUACUGGGCGUAAAGGGCACGCAGGCGGGGAAUCAAGUCAGAUGUGAAAACCCAUAGCUUAACUCUGGGCCUGCAUUUGAUACUGUUUCUCUUGAGUACGGGAGAGGAUGGCGGAAUUCUUGGUGUAGCGGUGAAAUGCGUAGAUAUCAAGAAGAACACCGGUGGCGAAGGCGGCCAUCUGGCCCGAUACUGACGCUCAUGUGCGAAGGCAAGGGGAGCAAACAGG